GUCAAUAUAGCAUAAGAAAUGUAUUUGUUUUAAGCACAAAAGAUAGUGUUUGACU
rnacentral:tRNA from 2 species